AAGUAAAAGUCGUAACAAGGUCUCCGUAGGUGAACCUGCGGAGGGAUCAUUACAAGAACGCCCGGGCUUCGGCCUGGUUAUUCAUAACCCUUUGUUGUCCGACUCUGUUGCCUCCGGGGCGACCCUGCCUUCGGGCGGGGGCUCCGGGUGGACACUUCAAACUCUUGCGUAACUUUGCAGUCUGAGUAAACUUAAUUAAUAAAUUAAAACUUUUAACAACGGAUCUCUUGGUUCUGGCAUCGAUGAAGAACGCAGCGAAAUGCGAUAAGUAAUGUGAAUUGCAGAAUUCAGUGAAUCAUCGAAUCUUUGAACGCACAUUGCGCCCCCUGGUAUUCCGGGGGGCAUGCCUGUUCGAGCGUCAUUUCACCACUCAAGCCUCGCUUGGUAUUGGGCAACGCGGUCCGCCGCGUGCCUCAAAUCGUCCGGCUGGGUCUUCUGUCCCCUAAGCGUUGUGGAAACUAUUCGCUAAAGGGUGUUCGGGAGGCUACGCCGUAAAACAACCCCAUUUCUAAGGUUGACCUCGGAUCAGGUAGGGAUACCCGCUGAACUUAAGCAUA
rnacentral:sRNA from 1 species